AUUGAACGCUGGCGGCAGGCUUAACUCAUGCAAGUCGAGCGAGCGGCGGACGGGUGAGUAAUGUCUGGGAAACUGCCUGAUGGAGGGGGAUACCUACUGGAAACGGUAGCUAAUACCGCAUACCAUCAGAUGUGCCCAUAUGGGAUUAGCUAGUGGGUGGGGGAAUGGCUCACCUAGGCGACGAUCCCAAGCUGGUCUGAGCGGCUGACCGGCCACCCUGGAACUGAGACACGGUCCAGACUCCUACGGGAGGCAGCAGUGGGGAAUAUUGCACAAUGGGCGCAAGCCUGAUACAGCCAUGCCGCGUGUGUGAAGAAGGCCUUCGGGUUGUAAAGCACUUUCAGCGAGGAGGCGUUACUCGCAGAAGAAGCACCGGCUAACUCCGUGCCAGCAGCCGCGGUAAUAC
rnacentral:rRNA from 1 species